rnacentral:rRNA from 1 species
CCUACGGGAGGCAUCAGUGGGGAAUAUUGGACAAUGGGGGGAACCCUGAUCCAGCCAUGCCGCGUGUGUGAAGAAGGCCCUCGGGUUGUAAAGCACUUUCAGUGAGGAAGAACGCCUGGUGGUUAAUACCCAUCAGGAAAGACAUCACUCACGGAAGAAGCACCGGCUAACUCCGUGCCAGCAGCCGCGGUAAUACGGAGGGUGCGAGCGUUAAUCGGAAUUACUGGGCGUAAAGCGCGCGUAGGUGGCUUGAUAAGCCGGUUGUGAAAGCCCCGGGCUCAACCUGGGAACGGCAUCCGGAACUGUCAAGCUAGAGUGCAGGAGAGGAAGGUAGAAUUCCCGGUGUAGCGGUGAAAUGCGUAGAGAUCGGGAGGAAUACCAGUGGCGAAGGCGGCCUUCUGGACUGACACUGACACUGAGGUGCGAAAGCGUGGGUAGCAAACAGGAUUAGAUACCCCAGUAGUC